rnacentral:lncRNA from 1 species
GGGUGUUGCCACUAGUGUUCUAGCCAAGGUCAGCUCGAUCGGAGAUGGGAUGUAGCUGGUGCUGGGCAGUGAUGGCUUAACCUGCAAAAUAAAUUUCUUACCAUAGUUGGCUUUGGCCAAGAUCCUCCAACGUUCAAAUCAGAAAACUAUGAAAUAGGAGGGAAGAAGUGAGUAGAGAAAAAGGUGAGAGCAUAUCCUGGAGGUCCCCUUUGGCCCACUAUUUAUAGACGG